AGGAUGAACGCUGGCGGCGUGCCUAAUACAUGCAAGUCGAGCGAACGGACGAGAGUGCUUGCACUCUCUGAUGUUAGCGGCGGACGGGUGAGUAACACGUGGGUAACCUACCUAUAAGACUGGGAUAACUUCGGGAAACCGGAGCUAAUACCGGAUAAUAUUUAGCUUCGCAUGAAGCAAUAGUGAAAGACGGUUCUGCUGUCACUUAUAGAUGGACCCGCGGUGUAUUAGCUAGUUGGUGAGGUAACGGCUCACCAAGGCAACGAUACAUAGCCGACCUGAGAGGGUGAUCGGCCACACUGGGACUGAGACACGGCCCAGACUCCUACGGGAGGCAGCAGUAGGGAAUCUUCCGCAAUGGACGAAAGUCUGACGGAGCAACGCCGCGUGAGUGAAGAAGGUUUUCGGAUCGUAAAACUCUGUUGUAAGGGAAGAACAAGUACGUUAGUAACUGAACGUACCUUGACGGUACCUUACCAGAAAGCCACGGCUAACUACGUGCCAGCAGCCGCGGUAAUACGUAGGUGGCAAGCGUUAUCCGGAAUUAUUGGGCGUAAAGCGCGCGUAGGCGGUCUCUUAAGUCUGAUGUGAAAGCCCCCGGCUCAACCGGGGAGGGUCAUUGGAAACUGGGAGACUUGAGUGCAGAAGAGGAGAGUGGAAUUCCAUGUGUAGCGGUGAAAUGCGCAGAGAUAUGGAGGAACACCAGUGGCGAAGGCGGCUCUCUGGUCUGUAACUGACG
rnacentral:rRNA from 1 species